UUUCACUAUUAAAUGUGUCACUAUGCCUUAAUCACUCCAAAGAGAAUAGCAUAUGUGUUUAAUUCAAAUAUUUUUAAUCUGAAGGGUUCUUUGUGGCGAAAGAAGGGUCUUCAGAUUAAAAAAGGUCAAACUGACGGCUCAUGAAUGAUAAGAGCAGUAGGCACGUCAUCGGAGACCUUCUGAUUCCUGUCUAUCACUGGUGUUAGCAACUUGUAUGGGAUAGGACUGUCAUAAUCAAGCAGUAGGCAGCAGGCAAAACAGCCACAGACGUUUUCCAUUCUCAGUCUUGUGCCAGAUGCCUGGUGUACAUCUUGGCAAAGCAUCAACCCUGAAAUGCAUAGACAGAGACAAAACCUCAAUUCAGAAAUUCCUGCUCCGCAUGCACAGACCAUAAAGUUUAGUGAAUCAUUCCAUCUCUGCAGCUUUUUUCUUUGAAUAUGGCUUUACAGUCAUUACAAAUCCAACAAGUACAGUUAUCAAAGCGGGUACAAGCAGGCUUACAGUAAACCAUGAGUCAGUUGGAGAAAUGUGUUUUGAAGAUGAUUCACUUUGUCAUCUUUACAGAGACACAGAAAAACCCACCGGUGUAAUAAAGCAGAUUCUCAGACGUUCAUUCUUUUCAAAACUGCGGAGAAAUGAAAUUGAGAUAUCGGAGACUGUACAUAUUUCCUAGCAUUUACAAAAAAGUGUAACAGUGUAUGGUUAUGUCAUCCUAAUACUAAAUGAAUGUAUGCCUGAACUGUCAAAUUUUGUAUUGAAAUUUUAUGCAGCAUUAAUCAUGAGUUUGUCAUAGUUGUGGUCCAGCGAUGCCAGUACAAAAAUAAAUGAGGUACAUUUUCUCCUGUGCUACUUUACACAAUCACAGGCAUAGUGAGUGAUUAAAAUGUUUACAUCUCUGAUCUAGGUGAUCUGUAUGUGACAAUGACAGCACUGUCACUGCUUGGCAUGAUGUAU